ACCCGGCUAGCUCUGUCAAUUGAGCUUGAGCUCAAAACUCUUAAUCUUGCGUCAUGGGUUCGAUUCCCUUGUUGGACA